GUACUGUUUUCUAUAAUUUCGCGCAUGCGUACUACCGUCUCGAAUCUCGCCCAUGCGUACUGCCGUCUAUAAUGUCGCUCAUGCGUACUGCAUUCUCGCCGCAUACAGCUGUAGUUCCGCGCAUUGGCCACCUGGCGGUAGCAGAGACAGUGGAAUGAAAUACUCCGACGAGAUUGCUGCGGAUCCUCGGCGCAGUCCCUAGCGAUCCGUUCUCUCUUGUGAUGACGGGGGAAGAAUACGAAGUUAGAAGGGGGGCAAAGACGAAGAAAACAGACGAAAAGUACUCCAAGCCCAUGAAAGCUGUGCUAAGUGCUUAUGAAUAUCUGUAAAAAUGAAAAAGGGAAUUUUUUUUCUUUUUGCCACCAUCUGUUGCAUUGUUUCAAAUAUUCACAUACCAAAAUGUAACUGCCCAGCAUAUUUAAUGAUAACGAAAUUAAAGCAUGCUGGCAGAAAGUACCAGGCCAUAUUAAUGUUCGCUCACCCUCUGUCUUGUUCGUACUUUAAUGUCUUUGUUUCCAAGCGCUUUUCUUCAACUCCGAGUUUCACUUCUGUCUUUUUAUUCUUUUUAAUGCCAUAAAAUGGAUAGCUUUAGGCCCUAGCAUGUCUAAACAGGCAGACACUGCAUAAAGCUGCAGUUCUGAGAUUUGUGUGGACCAUUACAUUGUUUCCACAAAGAUUAAUGAAAACUGCAGUUCUUCACCUCAGUUUACAGAUGGAAAAAAUUAAUUCACCUGCAUAGAAGGAAUCAGUGUGUCACAGCUGCCUUUGGCAAGAUGGUCUGAGAGUUAUGCAGGUCCAUCAGGCUCAGCUACAGCUUUUCAUCUGCCCUUCCUCCUGCAACCAGAGAGAUAGCCCACACGGGCAUGGGGUAUGCAGACCCUCCCCAGUCAACUGCAGCAGUCGCUCCUGCCAGCACUCCCUUUCCCCCAGAUCAUUGCCAUUUCACAGGCUGGAGCCCUAUGUGGCAGAAGAGGAGAGAGCUACAGGCAGAAGUAAAACAGGGUGCUGGGAUUCCUCCAUCCUGCUGCCAGAUGUCUUCUCUGGCAUUCUGGGGGUGGGCAGGGGACUGUGGGAGCACCCUCGAGGCUCUGGGCAGGAUGGUAGGAAGCAAAGAUGCAGCUGCAGGCAGUGGGCUGUGGGCUGGAGCAGUGCAGCCAGGCACAGCCGCACGGCUCACAGUAUGGGCACACGGAGGAAGUUCAUCCAGCUGAGAGCUGCUGGGCUGUCCUUACCAUGCACUCUCCCAUCCUACAGGUCUGCACAGACUGCAGCAGUUGCUCAAGCAUUUUCCACUGCGGCAGCUCACAAGCGACAACUCCAACCUUGACCCAUACAGGGCUGGCAGCCAGAGAGGAAUUGUCUCUUUCUGGAGGCUGUGUCCUGUGGAUUGGUGGGUGAGCCCUGGUCCUUGGAAAGAGGUAGGUGAUUUUUUUAAAUUAUUAUUAUUUUUAUUGCAGGGUUUUGAUCUCUGCCUUUCUGAGAGGAUUCUAUGCUGGUUUAGGGUAGCUAUAUCUGCUAUGCCUGUCCUUAUGAUGCCCUUCAAUUGUUCUCUGAGAAAAAUGAAGGGGUUGUCUCCCUUUCUCUGACCUGGUAGUAGCGGAACUGACAUACAUUCAUUUCUUUUGUUAUUGUUUCAUUUCUGGAAUGCUUCAAUCAGCCCCAAGGUAACCCUGGUUGGCUUACUGAGCAUUGCAACUCCAGAAAUGCCUGGAGCUGGUGCUCUUUUCCAUAAAGGGGUUCUGUGCUUUCCAGAUCUUCUUUGCAACUCUUCUUAAACUCAAUACCUUCUCAUUAAGUCUCUGUUCCCUCUUUCA